GAGGUGAUAUAUGAAAAAUGAAAGAAAUUAGGCUAAAUUACAUUAAGGGUUGCAUAUUAAGUGUGUUUGGGCUCUUUAUGUUGGGACCAGGAGUUAAGGCCUUAAUUGAUGGGUUUAAUUAAUUUAUUUAAGAUCCAAUUAAAUAAAUUAAAGGUGUGUUGGUACUCUAGGUCAUGCCAGUGGUAGAUCUAUAUAAGGAGAGUUAUUUUUAACUUGUUUUCCCACUUUAACUAGGAUUCUUGAGAGAGAAUUAAGUUUGAAUGCAACUAGGACUUUCAAAUUAGAUCUAAAGUCUUAGUUAACCUAUUUUUCUCUAUAAA
rnacentral:misc_RNA from 1 species